GCGAGUAGGUGAGAAAAACAGUUUGAAAUGGGAAGAGCUGAGGGAUGAGCUAAGUGUACAGUCGAGUCAAGAGACAGCAUGGGU